AUUGAACGCUGGCGGCAGGCUUAACACAUGCAAGUCGAGCGGGGUGAUGGUGCUUGCACUAUCACUUAGCGGCGGACGGGUGAGUAAUGCUUAGGAAUCUGCCUAUUAGUGGGGGACAACAUCUCGAAAGGGAUGCUAAUACCGCAUACGUCCUACGGGAGAAAGCAGGGGAUCUUUAUGACCUUGCGCUAAUAGAUGAGCAUAAGUCGGAUUAGCUAGUUGGUGGGGUAAAGGCCUACCAAGGCGACGAUCUGUAGCGGGUCUGAGAGGAUGAUCCGUCACACUGGGACUGAGACACGGCCCAGACUCCUACGGGAGGCAGCAGUGGGGAAUAUUGGACAAUGGGGGGAACCCUGAUCCAGCCAUGCCGCGUGUGUGAAGAAGGCCUUAUGGUUGUAAAGCACUUUAAGCGAGGAGGAGGCUCUUUUGGUUAAUACCCAGAAUGAGUGGACGUUACUCGCAGAAUAAGCACCGGCUAACUCUGUGCCAGCAGCCGCGGUAA
rnacentral:rRNA from 1 species